GCUUGCUUCUCUGAUGUUAGCGGCGGACGGGUGAGUAACACGUGGAUAACCUACCUAUAAGACUGGGAUAACUUCGGGAAACCGGAGCUAAUACCGGAUAAUAUUUUGAACCGCAUGGUUCAAAAGUGAAAGACGGUCUUGCUGUCACUUAUAGAUGGAUCCGCGCUGCAUUAGCUAGUUGGUAAGGUAACGGCUUACCAAGGCAACGAUGCAUAGCCGACCUGAGAGGGUGAUCGGCCACACUGGAACUGAGACACGGUCCAGACUCCUACGGGAGGCAGCAGUAGGGAAUCUUCCGCAAUGGGCGAAAGCCUGACGGAGCAACGCCGCGUGAGUGAUGAAGGUCUUCGGAUCGUAAAACUCUGUUAUUAGGGAAGAACAUAUGUGUAAGUAACUGUGCACAUCUUGACGGUACCUAAUCAGAAAGCCACGGCUAACUACGUGCCAGCAGCCGCGGUAAUACGUAGGUGGCAAGCGUUAUCCGGAAUUAUUGGGCGUAAAGCGCGCGUAGGCGGUUUUUUAAGUCUGAUGUGAAAGCCCACGGCUCAACCGUGGAGGGUCAUUGGAAACUGGAAAACUUUGAGUGCAGAAGAGGAAAGUGGAAUUCCAUGUGUAGCGGUGAAAUGCGCAGAGAUAUGGAGGAACACCAGUGGCGAAGGCGACUUUCUGGUCUGUAACUGACGCUGAUGUGCGAAAGCGU
rnacentral:rRNA from 1 species